CUGCCCCGGCUGGCGGCUACGGCCCGCGAGGGCCGAGGAAACUCCACCCUCCCCGCGGCGCCCGGGCCCCGCAAGGGGCGCGGGUGAGACCCGCGGCAACGGCACAGAAACGACACGGCCCCCGCGAGGAUGGCAAUGACCCCGCGAGGCCCUUCGGGCAACCGGGGGGCAGUAACCGGGGGAGGACUCCGGGGGAUGCGGUGAAACGGCCGCCCCCGGGGGAGCAAGGGCUGGAGGGGAUGAGGGCCGCGCGAGCCCUCCGGCAUGGUCCGCUGAGUCGGAUGCCGCCGUAGUACAGAAGGUGGGUUAUAGCCGGGGCAG
rnacentral:RNase_P_RNA from 1 species